ACCUCAUAAAAAUCUUAUAUUAAUUUGGCAUGAAUUCAAUAAGAAUUUAGAUGAGAAUUUAAGGCAACGUGUUAAGAUAAGAGCCUUCAUUAAAAAGGACUCUACAACUUCACAUGCUAAUUAGAGUGGGAGAUAAUUUUAUUUUGUGUGAAACUUGGUGGCCACAGAGAAGUUUUUCUCCACUUAAACUAGUCUAAGU
rnacentral:lncRNA from 1 species